GGGGGCGUAACGGCUUCGACGGGAUGAUUUCGUUGUGAUGAGGCGUGCCGGGUUCCGAGCUCCCGUAAAACGAUCGGAAAACCAAAAUUGCCAAUCAGCAAUUUGCAUACGCUGCCUAAAAUUUAGGUAGCCGCUCGCCGCAAUGAGCCUGCGCGUUGCGGGCCGAGCGUCAUUUUGCAGGAUAGGCUGUAAGCCGCCACCUGAGGCUGUAAGUCGAGAUCAAUCAGGCUGGGCCGUGUCUCUUCUUGCCGGUUCUGAGAGUACGGUCGAGAAACUGAAUCGGAAACGCACGUAGUUCUUGUCAUGGCGGGCCAUUUCGGACGCGGGUUCAACUCCCGCCGCCUCCACCA
rnacentral:tmRNA from 1 species